GCCAAAGCAGCCACCAUCUUGCUUGCCUGAAGACUGUGUGGAUUUCUGGACGGGAGAAACUGAGUUUAAUUGUCUUGAACAUUCAAACCCUGGUAUGGGGGAGUGAUGGAUUGAUUCACUGGAUGUAGACGGAAGAAAGUGAUGAAGCCUGGUGCUGGUACAUGUUUAGUGUAGAGGCCCUUGGCUAGAUGGUCCAUCAAUGCCAAAUCUCUGGCUCUAGGCUCCAUUAGCCAAAGCUGUUAGGACCAGAUCCUUAGACACAGCAGCAUCUGUGACUCUUCGCCCAAUGAAUAAUUAUGGGAUGGUGUCAGUAUCCCUGGGAGAUGUCUCUCCAGAGUCAAAAACUCCCCACUGCAAAGAACCAAUUAAAGCAGAGGCCCAGGAUGAUGAAAGGCCACCUACCUUCACCGGUUUGAAAUAUCAUCUCAGUUCUGUCUGCAACCCAAU
ensembl:lncRNA